AUUGAACGCUGGCGGCACGCCUAACACAUGCAAGUCGAGCGGUAGCAUGAUUGGUAGCAAUACUAAUUGAUGACGAGCGGCGGACGGGUGAGGAACACGUAGGAACCUGCCCUUUAGCGGGGGGCAACCAAGGGAAACUUUGGCUAAUACCGCGUAAGCGCGAAAGAGCAAAGCUGCCCGCAAGGGUGGCGCGAGAGGAGGGGCCUGCGUCCGAUUAGCUAGUUGGCGGGGUAAGAGCCCCCCAAGGCGAUGAUCGGUAACUGGCCUUAGAGGACGACCAGUACCACUGGGACUGCGACACGGCCCAGACUCCAACGGGAGGCAGCAGUGGGGAAUCUUGGACAAUGGGUGCAACCCUGCACCAGCGAUGCCGCGUGAGUGCAGAAGGCCUUCGGGUCGUAAAGCUCUUUAGGUUGGGAAGAGGGGUGUGUGGUGAAUAGACAUGCAGUUUGACGGUACCGACAGAAUAAGCACCGGCAAACUCUGUGCCAGCAGCCGCCGUAA
rnacentral:rRNA from 1 species